rnacentral:pre_miRNA from 1 species
GGAAACUUGGAAACUCCUGUUGGAUCGAGAAAUGGACAUCCGAGAUUCGUCCACGUCACCGUGAGUAAAAUUUUAACUCGUAGAUUCACUCAUGAGUUAAAAUUUUACUCUGAGUUAAAUUUUAACUCAUGGUGAUGUGGACGAAUCUCGGAUGUCCAUUUCUCUAUCCAACGGUAGUUUCUAAGUUUCC